rnacentral:rRNA from 1 species
GGGUGCAAGCGUUAAUCGGAAUUACUGGGCGUAAAGCGUGCGUAGGCGGUUUGUUAAGUCUGUUGUGAAAUCCCCGGGCUCAACCUGGGAAUGGCAAUGGAUACUGGCAAGCUAGAGUGUGUCAGAGGAUGGUGGAAUUCCCGGUGUAGCGGUGAAAUGCGUAGAGAUCGGGAGGAACAUCAGUGGCGAAGGCGGCCAUCUGGGACAACACUGACGCUGAGGCACGAAAGCGUGGGGAGCAAACAGG